rnacentral:rRNA from 1 species
AGUCGAACGGAGUAAGAAGUGACACAGAGUGAUAAAGAAGAGCCUUUCAUAAAAAAGAGUCUCUCCCUUUUCCCUUCUGUGUCACUUCUUACUCAGUGGCAAACGGGUGAGUAACGAGUUUGUACCUACCCCGAAGACAGGGAUAGCUUACCGAAAGGUAAGGUAAUACCGGAUAGUCUCGUAAGAGUAAAGUCGCAAGACACUUCGGGAGGGGCAUGCUUUCUAUCAGCUAGUUGGUGAGGUAAUAGCUCACCAAGGCAAUGACGGAUAGCUGGUCUGAGAGGACGACCAGCCACAAUGGAACUGAGACACGGUCCAUACUCCUACGGGAGGCAGCAGUGAGGAAUCUUCCACAAUGGGCGAAAGCCUGAUGGAGCGACACCGCGUGAAGGAUGAAGCUUUUAUUAGUGUAAACUUCUUUUUUGUGGGAAGAUAAUGACGGUACCACAGGGAGAGGGAGGCAGAAUGGUAAGAGUAGGGGUGCAAUCCGUUGAUACUUACCGGAAUACCAAAAGCGAAGGCAGCCUCCUGGAACUCUAUUGACGCUGGGGAACGAAAGCGUGGGAGCGAAAAGGAUUAGAUACCCUUGUAGUCCACGCCCUAAACGAUGGAUACUUAGUGUCGGGGUAACCCGGUGCUUCAAGUCAACACAUUAAGUAUCCCGCNUGAGAAGUACGGUCGCAAGAUUAAAACUCAAAUGAAUAGACGGGGACCCACACAAGCAGUGGAUCAUGUUGUUUAAUUCGACACUAAACGAGAAACCUUACCUAGGCUUGACAUCGAAGGAAUCCGCUGGAAACAGUGGAGCACCCGCAAGGGACCCGAAGACAGGCGCUGCAUGGUUGUCGUCAGCUCGUGCCUUGAGGUGUUCGGUUAAGUCCGUUAACGAGCGCAACCCAUGUCGUUAGUUACUAUGUCUAACGAGACUGCCUGAGUUAAUCAGGAGGAAGGUGUGGAUGACGUCAAAUCAGCAUGGCCCUUAUGCCUAGGGCCACAAACAUGAUACAAUGGUCGGUACAAUGUGUAGCUAUCCCGCGAGGGUGAGCCAAUCACCAAAGCCGAUCUCAGUCCAGAUUGGAGUCUGCAACUCGACUCCAUGAAGUUGGAAUUGCUAGUAAUCGUGAAUCAGCUAUGUCACGGUGAAUCUGUUCCUGGGUCUUGUACUCACCGCCCGUCAAAGCAUGGGAGGUGGUUCUACUGGAAGUCCGCGAAGUAAUAUUGCGGCCCAUG